rnacentral:rRNA from 1 species
GAAGCGGCAACAGCUCAAAUUUGAAAUCUGGCACAAGCCCGAGUUGUAAUUUGUAGAGGAUGCUUCUGGGCAGCGGCCGGUCUAUGUUUCUUGGAACAGGACGUCACAGAGGGUGAGAAUCCCGUACGCGACCGGCUUGCACCCUCCACGUAGCUCCUUCGACGAGUCGAGUUGUUUGGGAAUGCAGCUCCAAAUGGGUGGUAAAUUCCAUCUAAAGCUAAAUACCGGCCAGAGACCGAUAGCGCACAAGUAGAGUGAUCGAAAGAUGAAAAGCACUUUGGAAAGAGAGUUAAAAAGCACGUGAAAUUGUUGAAAGGGAAGCGCUUGCUACCAGACCUGUCGGCGACGUUCAGCCGGUCUUCUGACCGGUCCACUCGUCGCCCGCAGGCCAGCAUCGUCCGGGGCCGCCGGAGAAAGGUGUCGGGAAUGUAACUCCCCCGGGAGUGUUAUAGCCCUUCGCACAAUACGGCGCGCCCCGGGCGAGGUCCGCGCUUAGGCCAGGAUGCUGGCGUAAUGGUCGCAAGCGGCCCGUCUUGAAACACGGACCAAGGAGUCUAACAUCUGUGCGAGUGUUCGGGUGUCAAACCCCUGCGCGUAAUGAAAGUGAACGGAGGUGGGAGCUCACGCGCACCAUCGACCGAUCCUGAUGUCCUCGGAUGGAUUUGAGUAGGAGCACAGCUGUUGGGACCCGAAAGAUGGU